rnacentral:rRNA from 1 species
UACGUAGGGGGCAAGCGUUGUCCGGAUUUAUUGGGCGUAAAGAGCGUGUAGGCGGCCAGAUAGGUCCGUUGUGAAAACUCGAGGCUCAACCUCGAGACGCCGAUGGAAACCAUCUGGCUAGAGUCCGGAAGAGGAGAGUGGAAUCCUGGUGUAGCGGUGGAAUGCGCAGAUAUCAGGAGGAACACCAAUGGCGAAGGCAGAUCUCUGGGCCGUAACUGACGCUGAGGAGCGAAAGCAUGGGGAGCGAACAGG